rnacentral:rRNA from 1 species
CGUCUAUAUACGUAUAGCAUAUCAAUAAGCGGAGGAAAAGAAACUAACUAGGAUUCCCUUAGUAACGGCGAGUGAAGCGGGAAGAGCUCAAAUUUGAAAUCUUCAAGGUUUUACCUUGACGAAUUGUAGUUUAAAGAAGUGUUUUCUGUUGGAAUUUUGGUAAAAGUUCUUUGGAAUAGGACAUCAUAGAGGGUGAGAAUCCCGUAUUUGACCAUUACUUUCCAGCUUUGUGAUACACUUUCAAAGAGUCGGAUUGUUUGGGAAUGCAGUCCAAAAUGGGUGGUAAAUUUCAUCUAAAGCUAAAUAUUGGCGAGAGACCGAUAGCGAACAAGUACCGUGAGGGAAAGAUGAAAAGAACUUUGAAAAGAGAGUUAAACAGUACGUGAAAUUGUCAAAAGGGAAGCGUUUGACACCAGUGUUGUUUUUCCGAAAAUCAAUUACGAAUGGCUUGAUUCUGUGUUGUAUUGACCUUAUCAGCUUUCUGCACUUUUUUCGAGUCUUUCUUAAUGCACUUUUUGGUUAACAAGUCAACAUCAAUUUCUUUUGUUGUAAAAGAGUAUUCGGAAGGUGGCUUUCUUUUCGGAGAAAGUGUUUAUAGCCCUAUACUUCUACAAUCGGAGAGAUUGAGGUCUGCAGCGUAGAUCCUUCGGGGUUAGAUACACUUGUGCUAAGUUGUAGCUUUUCAUAGACAACUUGUUGACUAUGUUUAGUCAUGCGGCUUACUCGCUUGUGCUAUUUUACCUACGCUUAGGAUGUUGAUGUGAUACUGCGAGCA